UUUGACCACAAUCUCAGAAUAAAAUUAUGGAUGACUUAUAUGUAAGUCGUCGGGCGGAUGACUGAAUUAUAAGUCCUCUAGGUAUAAUUAAAUAUUGAAGUUUUUUCUUUCAAUUGCAAAACUAACCUAUAACGACUUAAUUGUAAGUCGUAUUGUGUUAAUAAAAUAUUGAUAUUUCAAUUUUCACCAGACGACUGAAAU
rnacentral:lncRNA from 1 species